rnacentral:lncRNA from 1 species
UUUUGUUGACAUUUCUGUUGGACGUGACCUUAGGUUGACUAUCAUUUCAGUCACUCACGACACUGAGCGUCUAAAGUCCACAAUCCUUUUUAAAACCAUUUCUACUCAUUCACUUUCCUUACAACUCCACAGCCCGCCCCAGGGCUCUCCAAGCAAAACCCUUCCUGGCCCCCUCCAUCCUAACAAAGCCUGAGUCGAACACGAAAGGAAGAUGGUCGCUGAAGCGAAGGGGAGUCAUUUGUGUCCGUUCCAUAAAUCAAGACUGUCGCCUUUUGAAAAGGGGAGGUGUCGCGGUCUGACAGCCUGAUCUGUUUCUAGGACGGCGUGUUUCCAGGAAAUUCUGAGCACAUAUAUAUGCAGGGAGCAGUCAUCGUUUUCCUCCUGUCCAGCCUUCUGCCUCCUGCUCCUCCUCUAGCUGCCUCCCUUGUUUCCAGGCUGGAGGUUCAAUCCCUCUUCACCAUCCCUGACGAGGGAGGCUGUGUAGGAGGCUGUGUACGGGAGGCAUGUGAGAGAGGCUAUGUACGGGAGGCCCAUGAGGGAGACUGUGUGAGGGAGGCUGGGUGAAGGAGGCUGUCAUGGAGGCUGUGUGAGGGAGGCUGUCUGGGAGGCAUAUGAGGGAGGCUGUGUGGGAGGCUGUGUGGGAGGCUUUCUGGUAGGCUGUGUGAGGGAAGCUGCAUCAGGGAGGCUAUGUUGGGGAGGCUGUGUCGGGGAGGCUGUGAGGGAAGCUGUGUGAGGGAGACUAUGUGAAGGAGCUGUGCUGGGGAGGCUGUGUUGGGGAGGCUGUGAGGGAGGCUGUGUGAGGGAGGCUGUGUGGGAGGCUGUGAAGGAGGCUGUGUGAGGGAGGCUGUGUGAAGGAGGCUGUGUGAGGGAGGCUGUGAAGGAGGCUGUGUGAGGGAGGCUGUGUGAGGGAGGCUGUGAGGGAGGCUGUGUGGGAGGCUUUCUGGUAGGCUGUGUGAGGGAAGCUGCAUCAGGGAGGCUGUGCUGGGGAGGCUGUGUUGGGGAGGCUGUGAGGGAGGCUGUGUGAGGGAGACUAUGUGAAGGAGGCUGUCAUGAAGGUUGUGUGAGGGAGGCUGUGUGAGGCAGGCUGUUU